UACGGAGGGGGCAAGCGUUGUUCGGAAUUACUGGGCGUAAAGGGCGCGCAGGCGGCUGCUCAAGUCAGGCGUGAAAGGCCUGGGCUCAACCCGGGAAUUGCGCUUGAGACUGGGCUGGCUUGAAUCCGGGAGAGGGAUGCGGAAUUCCAGGUGUAGCGGUGAAAUGCGUAGAGAUGUGGAGGAAUACCGAUGGCGAAGGCAGCCCCCUGGGAUAACACUGACGCUCAUGCACGAAAGCGUGGGGAGCAAACAGG
rnacentral:rRNA from 1 species